UACGUAGGGUGCAAGCGUUAUCCGGAAUUAUUGGGCGUAAAGAGCUCGUAGGCGGUUUGUCACGUCUGCUGUGAAAACUGGAGGCUCAACCUCCAGCCUGCAGUGGGUACGGGCAAACUAGAGUGCGGUAGGGGAGAUCGGAAUUCCUGGUGUAGCGGUGAAAUGCGCAGAUAUCAGGAGGAACACCGGUGGCGAAGGCGGAUCUCUGGGCCGUAACUGACGCUGAGGAGCGAAAGCAUGGGUAGCGAACAGG
rnacentral:rRNA from 1 species